CGCUGGCGGCGUGCCUAACACAUGCAAGUCGAACGCUCUACGCAAGUAGAGAGUGGCGGACGGGUGAGGAACACGUGGGUUAUCUACCUUUCGGUGAGGAAUACCGGCGAGAAAUCGCCGACAAAACCGCAUACCCUCAGCAAUGAGGAAAGUCGCAAGACGCCGGAAGAUGAGCCUGCGGCCGAUUAGCUAGUUGGUGGGGUAAAGGCCUACCAAAGCGACGAUCGGUAGCUGGUCUGAGAGGACGAUCAGCCACACUGGGAUUGAGAACGGCCCAGACUCCUACGGGGGGCAGCAGUGAGGAAUUUUCGUCAAUGGCCGAAAGGCUGAACGAGCAACGCCGCGUGCAGGAAGAAGGUCUUCGGAUCGUAAACUGCUUUUCUCUGGGAAGAGAAUAGACGGUACCAGAGGAAGAAGCCCCGGCUAACUACGUGCCAGCAGCCGCGGUAAUACGUAAGGGGCGAGCGUUGUCCGGAUUUACUGGGCGUAAAGGGCGCGUAGGCGGUGCUUUAAGUUUGAAGUGACAGUGCUCGGCUUAACUGAGCAAGGCCUUUGAAAACUGGAGCACUU
rnacentral:rRNA from 1 species